rnacentral:rRNA from 1 species
AGCGAACGCUGGCGGCGUGCUUAACACAUGCAAGUCGAGUGAAGGAAAUUCCUGUAGCAAUACAGGGGUUUUCAUUCACGGCGCACGGGUGCGUAACACGUGGGUGACCUGCCCUAAGAUGGGGAAUAACCCCGCGAAAGCGGGGCUAAUACCGCAUAAAAUUCCGCGACAUUCGGUUGCGGAUUCAAAGUCUUCGGACGUCUUUGGAGGGCCCGCGCCGAUUAGCUAGUUGGGGAGGUAACGGCUCACCAAGGCAAUGAUCGGUAGCUGGUCUGAGAGGAUGAU